UGAGGAAUAUUGGUCAAUGGACGGAAGUCUGAACCAGCCAUGCCGCGUGAAGGAUGAAGGCCUUCUGGGUUGUAAACUUCUUUUAUUGGGGAAGAAAACUAUGGUUUCUACUAUAGCCGACGGUACCCAAGGAAUAAGCACCGGCUAACUCCGUGCCAGCAGCCGCGGUAAUACGGAGGGUGCAAGCGUUAUCCGGAUUUACUGGGUUUAAAGGGUGUGUAGGCGGACUAUUAAGUCAGUGGGUGAAAUCUCCGGGCUUAACCUGGAAACUGCCAUUGAUACUAAUGGUCUUGAAUAUCGUUGAGGUUGGCAGAAUAUGUCAUGUAGCGGUGAAAUGCAUAGAUAUGACAUAGAAUACCGAUUGCGAAGGCAGCUAACUAAGCGAUGAUUGACGCUGAGGCACGAAAGCGUGGGGAUCAAACAGGAUUAGAUACCCUGGUAGUCCACGCCCUAAACGAUGAUUACUCGACAUACGCGAUACACAGUGUGUGUCUGAGCG
rnacentral:rRNA from 1 species